CCCUCCCCAUAGAGGCACUGCAGGUGUGGCUGCUGUCACAUGUGCAUCAGCAGGUGACGGAGAGGAGAGAGGCUCUGUCUACGUUCAGUGUUCCGACCCGUAAACAUGUGAAUGAUUGGAAGCCUAACAGU